rnacentral:lncRNA from 1 species
GAUGAACAAGAAAAAAAAUAAUAUGAGAUUUAUAUUUAAUAUUUCACAUUUCGACUCUUCAAUUGGUAAAAUAUUAAUGAAGCUUGUCAAUAUUCAACAACCUCAUCUUCCGAUUCUCUGAGCCACAAACAAAAUUGUAAUUAUUGAAUCAUUACCGUCGACAAUGAAAUAGAACUAAAAUUACAUGAACCCUCUACAGUAUUGGAGAAGCAGACGCUGCUAUCCUCCUUCUCCGUGCUAGUGGCGCUACCUCCACCUCUCGAGCUCCGCUUGCUGUGUUCUAAAUCUUAUUGAAGUACCUCUUUUUGCUUAUUCUAUUGUUCGUCC